rnacentral:piRNA from 1 species
UGGAGAGCUGGCUCAGAGGUUAA